rnacentral:rRNA from 1 species
GAUGAACGCUGGCGGCGUGCUUAACACAUGCAAGUCGAACGAAGCACUUUAUUUGAUUUCCUUCGGGACUGAUUAUUUUGUGACUGAGUGGCGGACGGGUGAGUAACGCGUGGGUAACCUGCCCUGUACAGGGGGAUAACAGUUGGAAACGGCUGCUAAUACCGCAUAAGCGCACAGCAUCGCAUGAUGCAGUGUGAAAAACUCCGGUGGUAUAAGAUGGACCCGCGUUGGAUUAGCUAGUUGGUGAGGUAGCGGCCCACCAAGGCGACGAUCCAUAGCCGACCUGAGAGGGUGACCGGCCACAUUGGGACUGAGACACGGCCCAAACUCCUACGGGAGGCAGCAGUGGGGAAUAUUGCACAAUGGGCGAAAGCCUGAUGCAGCGACGCCGCGUGAGCGAAGAAGUAUUUCGGUAUGUAAAGCUCUAUCAGCAGGGAAGAUAAUGACGGUACCUGACUAAGAAGCACCGGCUAAAUACGUG